GUGCUUGCUUUGGCAGCACAUAUACUAAAACUGAAGUGAUACAGAGAAAAGUAGCAUGGCCCCUGCACAAGGAUUACAUGCAAAUUUGUGAAGUGUUCCGUAUUUCU
ensembl:snRNA U6 U6 spliceosomal RNA